rnacentral:rRNA from 1 species
UGGGGGAUAUUGCACAAUGGGCGAAAGCCUGAUGCAGCGACGCCGCGUGGGGGAUGAAGGCUUUCGGGUUGUAAACCUCUUUCGCUAUCGAACAAGGCCCGCUUAGGGUGGGUUGAGGGUAGGUGGAGAAGAAGCGCCGGCUAACUACGUGCCAGCAGCCGCGGUAAUCCGUAGGGCGCGAGCGUUGUCCGGAAUUAUUGGGCGUAUAGGGCUUGUAGGCGGCUUGUUGCGCCUGCUGUGAAAACGCGGGGCUUAACUUCGCGCGUGCAGUGGGUACGGGCAGGCUUGAGUGUGGUAGGGGUGACUGGAAUUCCAGGUGUAGCGGUGGAAUGCGCAGAUAUCUGGAAGAACACCGAUGGCGAAGGCAGGUCACUGGGCCAUUACUGACGCUGAGGAGCGAAAGCAUGGGUAGCGAACAGG